AGAAGGCUAGCCCACGUUUCCGGGGCCCCCAGCGGCUGGGAAACUCCCAGGGGCCGGGCCCUCCUCACCCAGUCUCCCUUCCUCCUUCUCUGGACUGGCCUGGCUGGACCACACCUGGGGCCGUGGCCACCUGUGCCCCCUUUUCUCAGCCUGUUCUUCUUUGGGCCUCCUGGGACACUCAAGCACCCCAGGACAAGUCAGGGCCAGCAGACUCCGCCUGCAAAGAGGGCCCCCAUCGCAGAAGCCCUUGGAGACGUCAGCCCUUACGGUGCAGAGGGGAGAUGGAGCCACCGUGCAAAGGAUGCUCCAGCCUCACAGCCAGGAGGCUGGAUAAGGCCGAGUGCACCAGGCCCUUGGGCAGCCCAGUGGGCAGAGCCCAGAAGAGGGGGCCACACGGCCUGGCCUAAGGAGCAGGGUAGGCAUCAGGGGAGCAGGGCAGGUCAACGGCUGCUCAGAAGCCUGGCAGGGUUUGCAGGGCGUGGGCUGCCCCAAGCUCAUCUGCACAGAGCGCUGACUUCCGGCCCCAGGACCAGAGCAGGAGACAUGGCCGGGGAAGAAGAGCAAAGGUGGCUCCUGUAAUUCAUUUGGGGGCGUGAGGUGAAGACGGGGCCAGCGCCCCUGGGGCAGCUGAGACCAGGGCGGGGAAGACCAUAAAUCAGGCAGGAGCCAGUGCCCGGUGCCCCAAGGUGAGCACAUGGAGGGACAGUGACUGCUGGUCCUGGGAGCGAGCACAGAGCCCACGGGAAAGCGAGGAGCUCAGUAGGAAAGUGAGGAGCCCACCAGGAAAGCGCGGAGCCCAAGGGAAAGCGCGGAGCCCACUGGGAAAGCGAGGAGCCCACGGGAAAGCGAGGAGCCCAGUGGGAAAGUGCAGAGCCCGCGGGAAAGGAAGGAGCCCACGAGAAAGCGCAGAGCCCACGGGAAAGGGAGGAGCCCACGGGAAAUCAGGGCUGCACUGCACACCAGUUCAGAUGCUUCCAGUGUCCGCUGGGCGCCGGUCCGUCCCAGAAGAAGGUGGGUGCUCAGGGGCACCCUCAGCAAUGUGCUGUGUCCACGCCUAUGUCUGCCUGAGAAUCAGCCUGGGGUUCCUUCAGCGCACGCAUACAGAAUCCUAAAAGGCCGUGGGAAGCAGCCCGAACCUUUCCUUAAAUCGCAGAAGGGAGCAAGGGAAGAAUCCACAUGGCGGACAGGCUGAGAUCUCAAAUCCCAGUAAUCACUAUGACAUGGUUAAGAAAUAAGGUGCAAAUCCCACCAACAAUUCCAAAAGGAAACUUCAUAUGCAAACCAAAAUCACAUCAAUCAGCUGAGUCUUCAUUUUCUUCACAUGCCCACAAAAAUAAGUAUCCCUGGGAGGACAGUGACGGGAGGCAGAGGCAGGCUAAGUCCUCGCACACGGGGAGAUGGUUCCUCACACACGUGGUCAGAGAAAAAUACGGCAAGUACCAGAAAAUUAAAACAGGAUGAAUAUCUCUCUAACAAUUAGCAAAAACUGGAGUGAAAUGUACCUGCCAAGGGUGAGAAAACAGCAAACACACAGAGCAGCACCAAGAAAUCGUCGCCCUGAGAUGACGGGAGCAGACGUAUGACUGGCAAUGGCAAGAGCAAAACACAUGAGCGGAUUUUCCCCUCGCAGCCUCAGAUCUGCUUUCUGUCCUUGUGGGUUUGCCUCCUCUGGGUACGUUCUGAGUUAAUUUUUGUAUAAGUUAUGAGACUUAGGUCAAAGUUCCUUUUUUUUUUUUUUUUUGGCCUGUAGAUGUCUGAUUCUUCCAGCACCAUUUGUUGAAAAGCUACUCUUCUUCCACUGAAUUGUUUUUAUACCUUUGUCAAAAAUCAGGUGGGCCUAUUUGUGUGGGUCAGUUUCUGGGUUUUCUGUUCUGUUCUGUUUUGUUCCGUUGGUUCAAGAGUCUACCCUGAUGCACACACG
rnacentral:lncRNA from 1 species